UUCAAACAAGUACUAGUAGACAUUUCAUGCAACCAUGAAACAAGCUUCUUGAUCAUAACUUGUAUACAUCAAAAAGAAAAUAUAGCCGGAUCAUAGUGGACCCAGCCGGUCACAGCAAAGAGAAAACAUGGCUGGCAGUCUAAAGGGGAACACAAUCUGGACCUGAGCCUAACCAUGAUGGUGAUUGUACUCAUAGACUGGCAUUUUACUUGGCGGAUGGCCUCAAGGCAUGCUUGGCUGGUAUGGAGAGGCGAACAAGUACUGCAUACUGGUUAGGGGGUUACAGCCUUUUUCUAGCAUCUUGCCCUUUCAACAUGGGUCAUACUACUUUACCAACCAAAUUAUUCUUGAUGUCUCACAAAGGCAACCAAAGGUGCACACCGUCGAUUUUGGCAUUGGCUUCGGCAUCCAGUGGCCAUUAAUGAUUCAGAGGUUUGGAUAGAAACAAGAGGGAGUCCCUAAGCUUCGGAUCACAGUUGCCUUUUCAGUACCAGGGGGCAUUGCCGCUUCAAGAUGGGAGAUCAUUAAAUUGAGGAUCUGAACAUUGACGAGGACGAAAUUCAGAUAAUCAACUGCAUGUUCCGGAUGAAGAAUCACAGUCACGAACUGAAGCCGUAAAUAGUGCAAGGGAUAAGGUGCUGAAAAUUAUGAGGAGGAUGAACCCAAGAAUUUUUAUCUCUGGCACCGUGAAUUGGCUACGCGGUUCUCCCUUCUUCAUACAACGGUUCAAGGAGGUUAUGUUCCAUUACACUUCAAUGUUUGACAUGCUUGAUGCAAAUGUUCCACGGGACAAUAAAGAAACAAAGAUGAUUGAGAGGAUCCUAUUCGGGCAGGAGCCACUUAACAUCAUAGCAUGUGAGAGUGCGGAAAGAACUGAGAGGCCAGGAAGUUAAAGGCAGUGGCAAGCAAGGUGCCUCAAGGCUGUGUUCCAGCCGCUUCCUGUCGAUCCAGCCAUCUUAAAGAACAUAGUAUAAAUGAAGAACUCACUUUCUAUAAGGAAUUCUUUGCUGUUGAAGAUUGCGAUUGGCUGCUAUAAGGAUGGAAAGGGGGAGUACUUUAUGCUAUAUCUAAAUGGAAACCUAAUGAAACAUAUGAUGAUAAGUAAGAUUCGAACAGUUUUA